UACGAUGGGUGAAUUAUGUCAAACAACAAAGGGUCACCACACUAUCUGUCUGUCUGUCACGACUUAUUGCAAUUAACUCCUAGCAUGCGACUGCUAUGAGUGAUAACCUUGAUUUUUGUGCUUUACCCAACAUACCCUUUUUUAUUCAGUGUUAUUACAGGUUUUACCAGAAAUUUGAGUAAAAGCAAACAAUUUUUUGAAUUUAUAUAUAUAUAUAUGUGUGUGUGUAUUUUAAGACGUGCUUUUGGAAAUGAACUCUUCUUAUGUAAAUUGUGUUUCCUGAAAAAGGUCACUCAAAUAUAAUUAUUAACAACCACACAUUAAUUAAAGUUACAGUGAGACCCCUUCAGACCCGCAGUUUUACUGAUGGGGAAAAAAAUAAUACAAUCUGCCCUGAUUUUUACUCAAACACCACAACAAAGUGCAAUUUUUUGGUUUGGUUAUUUAAAGUUUUUAUUGGUCAUUUUUUAUGUUAAUGUGUUUUUGAUGACAAACGGGCACUUUACGUUAUUCGUUUUGAAAGAGCCAAAAAUAGCAAAGAGGGCUUCUCACUACUCAUGAUUUGAUUUCAAUGGGUAAAGUUUCAUACAAUCAUCUCCCAGAAGUGACAAUUGCAACUGAAUUCACUGUAUUUAUUGGUUUAGAGAUGCGCACGCAUCAUGUCCUCCUGCAGCAAGUCUGAAGGGGUUAAAACAUAUUGACGUUCACAGCUGGCGCGGGAAGACUGAUUAAGCACCGCCCAAUGCAUUGCAGAUGAGAACAAUUGAAUGAGAGGAGGAAGUGCAACUUUUGGAAAGUCACCCUGAUUAAAGUACAUAUACUACCUGUUUUAACGCAGAGGUAAGUGUUAUUUUGACCCAAUAUACACUCUCCUUGAUUGGAGUGAUGGUAUAGUUAAAAAUAAAACGUUUAAAAUAAGCAGCUUCGUUGUGAUGGUAGCAUUUAGCACAUAAUUGGCCUUGCUCUGAGGCGCACGUAAUUUAACCAACUAAUUUAGCAUUGUAGCGAUAGCGAUUUAUAUAAGCAUAUAAGACAACUAUGCUAUGCAGUUAGUGCAGAAAUUCAGUGCCGGUAUGUAUGUGCUGCAAGGACUUACUUUAGUGAGCUAGCUUAGCAUAGUAGCCAAAACGUUUUUAUUGAAGCACCUCUAUGCAAACUAGCAAUAUGCUAUGUAGGACAUUAACGUAUACCCUCUUGCGUGGACAAAUUUAACAAGAUAGUUUUGCAUUAUAGUGUAACUCUUUUAUAAAAGCGCUAAGAAAGCUAUGUAAUGCAGCUACAUUGUUUAAAGAAAAUUACAAAUUGGUGUGGCAGCAGGCAGAAAUUUAGCCUAUAAUACCAAUAAUGUGUAAAAUCAUUAUAUUUUAUUUUUUAGAAUUGGCAAUGCCUUCCCUGAGAAGCAGGAAAUCACCAAAACAGGAUGCCAUUGAACAUGCUUUAAUGGGUCUGGAUAAGACUCUCGAGUUGGAGAAGAAGUACAUCAGUUCUUUUAAAGGUCGAGGAGUAUUUACCAAAGCCCCUUUCAGGAAAGAAGAUUUUGUGGUGGAGUACAGAGGAGAAUUAAUAGAUUGGGAUGAAUCCCAAAAGAGAAAGAUGGACUAUGGAACAGGAAGAGUCUUUGUCUUUGAUUUCCGCUGGCAAGAAAAAACUUGGUGCAUUGAUGCUGCCAAAGAAGAUGGCAGUCUCGGAAGACUGGUCAAUGAUGACCACAAGCACCCAAAUUGUAAAAUGAAGAUGAUUGUGACAGAGGGCAAGCCUCACCUGUGUUUAUUUGCACAAAGAGACCUUGACAUUGGUGAAGAGAUAACUUAUGACUACGGACCAGCGGACUGG